rnacentral:rRNA from 1 species
UUGGGGACUCUAGCGAGACUGCCAGUGAUAAACUGGAGGAAGGUGGGGAUGACGUCAAAUCAUCAUGCCCCUUAUGACCUGGGCUACAAACGUGAUACAAUGGCUGAAACAAAGGGCAGCGAAGCAGUGAUGUGAAGCGAAACCCAAAAAAGCAGUCUCAGUUCGGAUUGAAGUCUGCAACUCGACUUCAUGAAGUCGGAAUCGCUAGUAAUCGCGAAUCAGAACGUCGCGGUGAAUACGUUCUCGGGGUUU